AUCCAGCUGAUGAGUCUCAAAUAGGACGAAACGCGCGUCCUGAAU
rnacentral:hammerhead_ribozyme from 1 species